AGGAAUAUUGGUCAAUGGGCGCGAGCCUGAACCAGCCAAGUAGCGUGAAGGAUGAAGGUCCUACGGAUUGUAAACUUCUUUUAUAAGGGAAUAAAGUCACCCACGUGUGGGUGUUUGUAUGUACCUUAUGAAUAAGCAUCGGCUAACUCCGUGCCAGCAGCCGCGGUAAUACGGAGGAUGCGAGCGUUAUCCGGAUUUAUUGGGUUUAAAGGGAGCGUAGACGGGCCGUUAAGUCAGCUGUGAAAGUUUGAGGCUCAACCUUAAAAUUGCAGUUGAUACUGGCGUCCUUGAGUACGGUUGAGGCAGGCGGAAUUCGUGGUGUAGCGGUGAAAUGCUUAGAUAUCACGAAGAACCCCGAUUGCGAAGGCAGCCUGCUAAACCGCCACUGACGUUGAGGCUCGAAAGUGUGGGUAUCAAACAGGAUUAGAUACCCUGGUAGUCCACACGGUAAACGAUGGAUACUCGCUGUUGGCGAUAGACUGUCAGCGGCUUAGCGAAAGCGUUAAGUAUCCCACCUGGGAGUACGCCGGCAACGGUGAAACUCAAAGGAAUUGACGGGGGCCCGCACAAGCGGAGGAACAUGUGGUUUAAUUCGAUGAUACGCGAGGAACCUUACCCGGGCUUGAAUUGCAGACGAAUUGCUUGGAAACAGGCAAGCCGCAAGGCGUCUGUGAAGGUGCUGCAUGGUUGUCGUCAGCUCGUGCCGUGAGGUGUCGGCUUAAGUGCCAUAACGAGCGCAACCCUCGUGUCCAGUUACUAGCAGGUUAUGCUGAGGACUCUGGACAGACUGCCAUCGUAAGAUGUGAGGAAGGUGGGGAUGACGUCAAAUCAGCACGGCCCUUACGUCCGGGGCUACACACGUGUUACAAUGGGGGGUACAGCAGGCAGCUACCGGGCGACCGGAUGCCAAUCCCGAAAGCCUCUCUCAGUUCGGACUGGAGUCUGCAACCCGACUCCACGAAGCUGGAUUCGCUAGUAAUCGCGCAUCAGCCACGGCGCGGUGAAUACGUUCCCG
rnacentral:rRNA from 1 species